rnacentral:rRNA from 1 species
UCCUACGGGAGGCAGCAGUGGGGAAUAUUGCACAAUGGGCGCAAGCCUGAUGCAGCCAUGCCGCGUGUAUGAAGAAGGCCUUCGGGUUGUAAAGUACUUUCAGCAGUGAGGAAGGUGGUGUCGUUAACAGCGGCAUCAUUUGACGUUAGCUGCAGAAGAAGCACCGGCUAACUCCGUGCCAGCAGCCGCGGUAAUACGGAGGGUGCGAGCGUUAAUCGGAAUUACUGGGCGUAAAGCGCAUGCAGGUGGUUUGUU